rnacentral:rRNA from 1 species
UUGCGGUUAAAAAGCUCGUAGUUGGAUCUCGGCAAGUAGAGGGCGGUAUGCUUCGUAGCAUUACUGCCCUAUUACUUGUAGUUUUGCCAGAGGUUCCUGGGUGCUCUUAAUCGAGUGUCUAGGGAUGCUGGCAGGUUUACUUUGAAAAAAUUAGAGUGCUCAAAGCAGGCUAUUACGCUUGAAUAUUCGUGCAUGGAAUAAUAGAAUAGGAAGUUGUUUCUAUUUUGCUGGUUUUCGGAAAUCGACUUAAUGAUUAAUAGGGACAGUCGGGGGCAUUUGUAUUCAAACGACAGAGGUGAAAUUCUUGGACCGUUUGAAGACAAACUACUGCGAAAGCAUUUGCCAAGAAUGUUUUCAUUAAUCAAGAACGAAAGUUAGAGGUUCGAAGGCGAUUAGAUACCGCCCUAGUUCUAACCAUAAACGAUGCCAGCUAGCGAUCUGAGGACGUUUUUUUUGUAGACUCCUCAGGAAGCUUCCGGGAAACCAAAGCGUGUGGGUUCCGGGGGAAGUAUGGUUGCAAAGCUGAAACUUAAAGGAAUUGACGGAAGGGCACCACCAGGAGUGGAGCCUGCGGCUUAAUUUGACUCAACACGGGAAAUCUCACCAGGC